AUUGAACGCUGGCGGCAGGCCUAACACAUGCAAGUCGAACGAGUGGCGGACGUGUGAGUAAUGUCUGGGAAACUGCCCGAUGGAGGGGGAUAACUACUGGAAACGGUAGCUACUACCUCAUACCAUCAGAUGUGCCCAGAUGGGAUUAGCUGGUAGUUGGGGUAACGGCUCACCUAGGCGACGAUCCCUAGCUGGUCUGAGAGGAUGACGAGCGACACGGGAACUGAGAAACGGGGCAGACUCCUACGGGAGGCAGCAGGGGGGAAUAUUGCACAAUGGGCGCAAACCUGAUGCAGCGAUGCCGCGUGUGUGAAGAAGGCAUUCGGGUUGUAAAGCACUUUCAGCGGGGAGGCGUUACCCGCAGAAGAAGCACCGGCUAACUCCGUGCCAGCAGCCGCGGUAAUUC
rnacentral:rRNA from 1 species